rnacentral:lncRNA from 1 species
CAGUGUCCAGAGUCUCCAAGUGCUCCAUUAUGACAGAGAGCUAGCACUGCCUGCUGCAUCAGGAAAGGAAUCCUGCUCCCAGAGAAAAAUGCAGUUAUGGAAAUCUGUCUUUUUAAUGCUGCCACAAAAGGAUAAAGUGCACUUUGCAAAGAUCUGGUCUCUCCAGACUUACAGUUCUACCUACAAAUGGGGAACAAAGAGAUGACAUCGACUUUUAUUUCAGAAAAAGUCACUCUCCAGUGAGAGAAACAAGGUCUUCCCAAACUUUGCUGAUGACAAAAGGCAAGGAAGGGCAAUUGAUGAACAUCAUGCAGAUGUUUACAGAGCUGUUAAGAUUUAUGUGUGAAGACUGUUCAACCCUGAAGAUGUAGUGUUUUCUAUAAGGAAGAAACUGAC